rnacentral:rRNA from 1 species
GACGAACGCUGGCGGCGUGCUUAACACAUGCAAGUCGAACGGAAAGGCCCUGCUUUUGUGGGGUGCUCGAGUGGCGAACGGGUGAGUAACACGUGAGUAACCUGCCCUUGACUUUGGGAUAACUUCAGGAAACUGGGGCUAAUACCGGAUAGGAGCUCCUGCUGCAUGGUGGGGGUUGGAAAGUUUCGGCGGUUGGGGAUGGACUCGCGGCUUAUCAGCUUGUUGGUGGGGUAGUGGCUUACCAAGGCUUUGACGGGUAGCCGGCCUGAGAGGGUGACCGGCCACAUUGGGACUGAGAUAAGGCACAGACUCCUACGGGAGGCAGCAGUGGGGAAUAUUGCACAAUGGGCGGAAGCCUGAUGCAGCAACGCCGCGUGCGGGAUGACGGCCUUCGGGUUGUAAACAGAUUUCGCCUGUGACGAAGCGUGAGUGACGGUAAUGGGUAAAGAAGCACAGGCUAACUACGUG